rnacentral:snRNA from 2 species
UUACUUCAGCAGUACAUAUAUUAAAAUUGGAACGAUACAGAGAAGAUUAGCAUGGCCCCUGCACAAGGAUGACACGCAAAUUUGUGAAGCAUUUCAUAUUUUU